CUGGGAGGGGUCCUGCUUUAGGAAGCAGGGCAGUUUGGACUGCACUUUGAAAACAACCAAGGGGAGAAAAGCUUCAAGGGGGUUCCAGGCAGGGAGAAGAUGAGCUUGUGUGGUUCCCUUCAGCAGCCUGCAAACCUUCCAACUGGAAGGUCCUUUUGUGAGCGAAGGGGCCAGUGGCAAGGAAAGGUAACAUAGACCAGGCCACAGAGGGCCCGGGAGGCAGCUGUGUGGGCUGAUUGUUGUCUUGCAGGCCGCGAAGGGGUCCUUGAAAUUUCCCAGAAGGGUGUGGAGUAGAUGCCACCAGACGGGGCAGGGAGUCCAGGUACCUGCCCCCAGUCACAGGUGGGAGUCGGUGAGCCUCGGGAAAGGAGAGAACAGGCGGAGAGUUUCCUCAUCUGUAAAAUGGGACCAAAACUAGCACCCACCUCAGAGGAUGACUUCGAGUCUUAAAUCAGCUGAGAUAUUCCAUCACCUACCGCAGUGUCAGACACAGAGUUAAGUCCUCCUUAAGACGUCGUAAGACGUCGUUAGUGUUGGUUGCUGCUGCCCCCUCGCCUAACUCUCCGAAUCCAGUUGUAGUUUACAUUUGCAGAGUGGUAUUCAGUUAAGGUCUCCUUCUCCUCACUCCUGCCUGCCCAGGACAUGGGACUGAAUGACCUCCUGGGCUGGGUGACUCGUUCUGCAGGGGAGAAAGGGCUGAGGGCUCUGGGGACACCCGAGCUCCCCUCCAGAUAAUUGUCCUCCUGCAACUUGUGGUUGUGCCAACACUGCUGCAAGAGGAAGAGAGAGAUGGUGGGGGAAAGGCAUAGGGGAAGAAAAAAAGGAGAGGUGAGAGAAAAAAAAACCAGGGGCAAAGGGGAAGGAAGGAGACUACCUUUUAAAAAGUGGGAAAUAGGGGAGCUCCCAUUGUGGCUAAAGGGAAAUGAAUCUGACUAGUAUCCACAAAGACGCAAGUUCAAUCCCUGGCCUCGUUCAGAGGGUUUAGGAUCCGGCAUUGCUGUGAGCUGUGGUGUGGGUCACAGACACAGCUCGGAUCUGGCGUUGCUGUGGCUGUG
rnacentral:lncRNA from 1 species